GAGGGUAUAGCUCAGUGGUAGAGCACAUGUUUACCAUGGUUGAGGUCCUGGGUUCAAUCCCCAGUACCUUCU